GACGAACGCUGGCGGCGUGCUUAACACAUGCAAGUCGAACGGAAAGGCCCCUUUUGGGGUACUCGAGUGGCGCACGGGUGUGUAACACGUGAGUAACCUGCCCUUGACUUCGGGAUAACUUCAGGAAACUGGGGCUAAUACCGGAUAGGAAUCCUUGCUGCAUGGUGGGGGUUGGAAAGCUUCGGCGGUUUUGGAUGGACUCGCGGCUUAUCAGCUUGUUGGUGGGGUAGUGGCUUACCAAGGCUUUGACGGGUAGCCGGCCUGAGAGGGCGACCGGCCACAUUGGGACUGAGAUACGGCCCAGACUCCUACGGGAGGCAGCAGUGGGGAAUAUUGCACAAUGGGCGGAAGCCUGAUGCAGCAACGCCGCGUGCGGGAUGACGGCCUUCGGGUUGUAAACCGCUUUCAGCAGGGGCGAAGCUUGUGGUGACGGUACCUGCAGAAGAAGCACCGGCUAACUACGUG
rnacentral:rRNA from 1 species